rnacentral:tRNA from 1 species
GCCUGGGUGGCUCAGUGGUUGAGCAUCUGCCUUUGGCUCAGGGCGUAACCCCGGGGUCCUGGGAUUGAGUCCCACUCUGGGCU